rnacentral:rRNA from 1 species
UACGAAGGGGGCUAGCGUUGUUCGGAAUUACUGGGCGUAAAGCGCACGUAGGCGGCUUGUUAAGUCAGGGGUGAAAUCCUGGAGCUCAACUCCAGAACUGCCUUUGAUACUGGCAACCUUGAGUCCGGGAGAGGUGAGUGGAACUGCGAGUGUAGAGGUGAAAUUCGUAGAUAUUCGCAAGAACACCAGUGGCGAAGGCGGCUCACUGGCCCGGUACUGACGCUGAGGUGCGAAAGCGUGGGGAGCAAACAGG